rnacentral:rRNA from 1 species
AGAGUUUGAUCAUGGCUCAGGAUGAACGCUAGCGGCAGGCCUAACACAUGCAAGUCGAGGGGUAACAGAGGUAGCUUGCUACUUGCUGACGACCGGCGCACGGGUGCGUAACGCGUAUACAAUCUACCUUUUGCUGAGGGAUAGCCCAGAGAAAUUUGGAUUAAGACCUCAUAGAAUGUUCAGCUCACCUGAGUUUAACAUUAAAGGUUACGGCAGAAGAUGAGUAUGCGUCCUAUUAGCUAGAUGGUGUGGUAACGGCACACCAUGGCAACGAUAGGUAGGGGCCCUGAGAGGGGGAUCCCCCACACUGGUACUGAGACACGGACCAGACUCCUACGGGAGGCAGCAGUGAGGAAUAUUGGACAAUGGGCGCAAGCCUGAUCCAGCCAUGCCGCGUGCAGGAAGACUGCCCUAUGGGUUGUAAACUGCUUUUAUACAGGAAGAAACACUCCCUCGUGAGGGAGCUUGACGGUACUGUAAGAAUAAGGAUCGGCUAACUCCGUGCCAGCAGCCGCGGUAAUACGGAGGAUCCAAGCGUUAUCCGGAAUCAUUGGGUUUAAAGGGUCCGUAGGUGGAUAAUUAAGUCAGAGGUGAAA